rnacentral:rRNA from 1 species
UGGGGAAUAUUGCACAAUGGAGGGAACUCUGAUGCAGCGACGCCGCGUGAACGAAGAAGGCUUUCGAGUCGUAAAGUUCUUUUAUAUGGGAAGAUAAUGACGGUACCAUAAGAAAAAGCCCCGGCUAACUACGUGCCAGCAGCCGCGGUAAUACGUAGGGGGCUAGCGUUGUCCGGAAUCACUGGGCGUAAAGGGUUCGCAGGCGGAAAUGCAAGUCAGGUGUAAAAGGCAGUAGCUUAACUACUGUAAGCAUUUGAAACUGGAUAUCUUGAGAAGAGGAGAGGUAAGUGGAAUUUUUAGUGUAGCGGUGAAAUGCGUAGAUAUUAAAAAGAAUACCGGUGGCGAAGGCGACUUACUGGGCUCAUUCUGACGCUGAGGAACGAAAGCGUGGGUAGCAAACAGG